GUAGGUGAACMUGCGGAAGGAUCAUUGUCGAUACCUGCCCAACGAAAAAGACCYGCGAACAUGUUGCACCAAUGUUACAAGGUUUGAUUGCGAGCCUUAGUGGCCAGUGACCAAACAAACAUAUCAAYCGGCGCGGUUGGCGCCARGGAUCUCACAGUUGGAAGAGACGUGUCAYCGUUGUGCCUUGGGUACAGGGAUGUGUCGUCAUCGAACCGAAUUAUUCAYAAAUGACUCUCGGCAACGGAUAUCUCGGCUCUCACAUCGAUGAAGAACGUAGCGWAAUGYGAUACUUGGUGUGAAUUGCAGAAUCCCGUGAACCAUCGAGUCUUUGAACGCAAGUUGCGCCCCAAGCCAUCAGGUUGAGGGCACGCCUGCCUGGGCGUCACGCACCAUUAUGCCCGUCCUCUUUUUGCCCUCGGGCGGUUGGGUACGGAGUGGAGAUUGGCCCCCCAUGCCCCUGUUGGAGGUGUGGCCGGCCCAAAUGUAAGGCCCAAGUGUGGCGAGCUUCGCRACGAGUGGUGGUCUAGAGAACACUUCUCCAUAGCUCGAACGAUGAGUGUGCUUUGCCUCCUUGGGCUUUCRGUGACCCGAUCAUUGCGUCGUCCUGUAGAUGAACGCUUCCGAUGCGACCCCAGGUCAGGSGGGGCUACCCGCUGAGYUUAAGCAUAUCAAUAAGCGGAGGAAAAGAAA
rnacentral:rRNA from 1 species